AGGACCUCUGUUGACCAACUCACUGACAGGGCAGAUGUGACACCACCUGCUGCCUCUCAAUCACUCCUCGCUUCUCAUCUUCGAUCCUUUCUUACUAGGUGGCAGAGGGAGGGACUGGGCCUCCACAGGUCCCAGGUAGGUCCUUUUUCUUGGUCUGGGUUUUCCUACCUGAGGAAUAGAGCCGGCUAAGGAAAGGCCUAACCAGGAUAUGCCAGUGUCGUGUGGCCUGUGCUCACUGCUGCCUUCUGUGGGGACACAAUCCCAACCCCAGCUCCUUGUCCUGUUCCUGCCAACAGGCCCCCAGAGUAGGUGGCUCAGAGUGGUGUGCCUAUACCUGCCUCCUCCUCCAUGGGGAUGUAGCAAGGCCACCGUGCCUUACAUGAGCACACAGGCAGCAACGAGGGGCUGGACUGGAGCUGGCCAGGCAGGCAGGAUGGAGUGGGUGGGAGCAGAGGACAGGCUAGUGAAGCCCUCUGGGGAACAUGGUUGUGACUAGGGAUAUUGGAACAAAAAGUCACAAGUGGAAGAAAAGACGGAGUCAUAAGUAUAUUUGUCCUUCCUUCCUCUCCUCUCCGGCCCUCCCUCCCUUCCUUCAGCAGUGACCAACGACUCUCCCAUCCAGGCCCUGUGGAGGGGACACAGGCGUGAGCCACGGGCCCAGGCUCUGUCCUAUGGGAGCGUGGGUCCGAGGACAAAGUUAACCAGAUGGGAAGGCGCAGUUCGGGAAAGGGAAACAGACACUCUACCUGCACACGGGCCAGGCAGGGCCUGAAAGGCAGUGCGAAUUACAGGGAAAAGGCGGAGCGGGAGGAAGAAUGCUCCAGGGCGAGGAAGCCGCCGCAGCGAUCUGGAGUGCCGUGGGGAGCAGGUGCGGAGGAAGAAGCCCAGUCCUGGGACACGCAGGCCAGCUCCAGGCAGGGGGAAGGAGGGGCGGGAGAAGCGGGAGACCAGAGAGUGUCCCCUCAGUCUGGCGCCUCAGGAUGACCCGGGCAGCCUUCAGCGUGGGCCGCCGCUGUUCCGGGGAGGCGCCAUCAGAGGUUCGGGGAGGGUGGACGAUGCGGCUGGGCUGCCGAGAAUCCAGGGGCUGCAGGCGAGGGUGGGGACUCGCGGUGAAACCUGAAGGUCAGGGCUGGUGGCAGAGACCGCGGCCGCUGCCACGGACAGCCGGGCGCGCCGUCGUGGCGUCAUCAGUGCGCGCCGCCCCCACUUCUGAGCGCACAAGUGGUCGCCCCGACAGCCCGAGUGUUCCGGGAACGCGAUCCUACUUGGCGGCCCUCCCUGCUUGGAUCUGCCACUCCUGAGGCUGAGGACGUUCAUUCCUUUUUCAAAAAUGGAUACCCAGGAAGCCUCUCGGUGCUCCCCUGUGCCCGGGUACUGAGCUGGGCCCGGGUGGUCUGCGGCCGGGGGCCCCGCCCCUCAGCGCAGGCGACCCUCCUACUGGCCCUGGCGGGCACAGCGCAUCUCCCGUGACCUGUGCGGGCCCGCAGGAUGAGCCCCCGGAUCACGAUCGCAGCAUUUUAUUUACCUUCCUUUCUCCGUUACAACCCCAGGCGAGUCUCCCGGGCCCCAAGAGGAGGUGGUGACUGGCCAGGGCCAUCGGCAGCGGCAGCAGGGGACUGCAUAGCGCUGCCUCGGGCCGACUAGCAGGCUGGUCUUGAGCCUCGGCGGCCCCAGUCCCCAGCGCAUGGAAUGUGCCCCGGGUCCCAGGAGCUCCUGGAGCCGCGCUUGUGAGACAGGGCUUGGGCUGCUUGGAGCUAGUGAGCCAUCGGCCAUGGCAGGCAUUUCAACAGAGCUUGGAGGCAAAGGGGUGAGAUGGUGCAUCCAUUGAGGUCACUUCAGGAGAUGACACUCCUGUGGCUAACUGUAGCCUCCCAAGUCAUGGCUCCCAGAAAUACGUUUGUCUGUUGCUGGAUGGCUUUGCCCCUGACUGGACACACUGUGACCUGGCUACCCCUCCAGAAACACUCCAAGAAGCUUCAUCUCUGGCCUCAGGGUAGGCUCCUUCAAUGGCAGUGCUAACCUUGGGAGGGAGCAGUGGUGUGAUCCCAGCUCACUGCAGCCUCCGACUCCUGAGCUACAGUGAUCCUCCCUUCUCAGCCUCCCAAGUAGCUGGCACUAAUAUCCAUCAUUACACCCAGCGAAGUUUUUGGAAAGACAGGGUCUUGCCAUGCUGCCCAGGCUGGUCUCAAACUCCUGGGCUCAAGCACGCCACCGACCUCAGCCUCCCAAAGCACUGAAAUUACAGCAGGUGGUUGAGCGCCUCAUUCACACUCUUGUUGUUGUGGCUCUGGACCGACCGCAGAGCACUCACAGUCACUAGAGAUUCUGACCCAGACAGGCAGCAAGGUCCUUAGUACCCACCGCCAUGGAUGCAGAGCAGAAUGGUGACCUGGCCUCAUCACAAAGCUUCACCUGCGGCACUGGUGAGCCCCCAGACUCAGCCACAGGCCACUGUGGGUCCACUCAUGUCAGAGCUCUAGGAACUGUCAGCCUUCCAGGCUGGCCCUUUACUCGGCAGCAGCAGGGCCAGCUCAGAGGGUCUCAACCAGACAUCUAACAAAAAGAAGGGCAGUCAGGGUGUGAUGUGGGGCUGAGGGGGCGGGUAGGGACCCAAGCUCACCUUCUGCAGUGAGUCACCUCAAAGCACCACCUGCUUCCCUACCAACUGCAAGGCUCCUUGGGCCUCCCUGGAAGGAGAGGAACCAUCUAAGGACAAGCCCAUUUCACUGAGGUUCUUGCGGGGCAUCAUGUGAGUGGGCAGACUUGAAGUGGGGCACCAGCAGUCCUGGCUUCUCUUGUGGGACACCUGGGACGAUGUGUGCUCUGGGCCUUUUAAACGGGUCCAUGCAGCAUGGCCGGAACACCGUUUAAGGUGGAGCACAAUUGUCAUGUUCCCACCUAGUUCCUCUGGUGCUGAGGCCUUCGAGGGAUACACACAUCUCUGCUGGGUUAAGCUGCUGGGGUCUGGAGUCCUCUGCACCACAAGAGGAAUCGGGGGCCCUCUGGAGAGUCCUCCAGAUCCAAGCUUGGAGACAGUAUGGGGAGAGCCUACCAGCCAUGUGCCAGGACGUGGAGCACUGGCAGGCCCGUGCCCACUAGCAUGGUCAACUAGCACCCCAGAAGACAUGGUAGUAUCCCUGUUUUAUAGAAGAGAAAACUGAAGGCCAGGAGUGGUGGCUCAUGCCUGUAAUCCCAGCACUUUGGGAGGCCAAGGUGGGCGGAUCACCCGAGGUCAGGAGUUAGAGAUGAGCCUGGCCAACACAGUGAAACCCUGUUUCUACUAAAACUACAAAAUUUAGCCAGGUAUGGUGGCAUGUGCCUGUAGUUCCAGCUACUCAGAAGGCUGAAGCAGGAGAAUCACUUGAACCCAGGAGGCGGAGGUUGCAGUGAAUCUAGAUUGUGCCACUGCACUCCAACCUGGGUGACAGAGUGAGACUGCGUCUUAAAUAAAUAAAUAAAAUUUAAAAAGAGAGAAAACUGAA